CACGUGAGGGCUGAGCAGCCCGCGCCUCUCCUUAGGAAACCCAGUGAGACGCUGGGUAUUCGAAUGUGGUCGCCGGGGAACGGGCGGCGCCCACACCCCCCGCGCUCGGAGAACUCCCCAGUCCCGCCUGAAACGAACGCGGUGCCCUAAAGUGCGGGCUGCAGGCUCUGCCGCUUGACGCGGCAAUGAUUGAAGGAAUCCAAUCCUCAGGCCUUCCAGAUAGUAUCGGGGAGCUGAAACUUUCCAGAACACUAAAUCCGACCACCCCCAGCUGCCUGUUGACCACCUCCUCUUCCUUACCCCUUCCUACUUCCUAAUUUUCCACCCAUAGUUACCUUCCUUCCCUGCUAUCUAAAACCCUAACUUCAGUGGGUUGGGGAAGUGGAUUUGAGACUGGUCUCCUGUCACCUGCUGACAUCACGACAUCACUUGCAAUAAAGCCUUCUUCCCUGGCAAUACUCGUUGUCUCCGUGAUUGGCUUUCCAUUUGGUGAGCAACUGGACUUGGCCGAACCCCUGGCAUUGGGAAACAUUGGUAAUCAGAUACCUCGUACUGUUUAUUCAACACACUUUGCUUUCCCUAUUGAGCAACCUUGGCACUAUUGUCAAAAAUCAAUUGACUCUGUAUUUGGGGGUCUAUUUCUGGAUUUUUCAUGCUGUUCCACUGAUCUAGUUCUUUUCUUUUUUU
rnacentral:lncRNA from 1 species